rnacentral:rRNA from 1 species
GACGAACGCUGGCGGCGUGCUUAACACAUGCAAGUCGAACGGAAAGGCCCUGCUUUUGUGGGGUGCUCGAGUGGCGAACGGGUGAGUAACACGUGAGUAACCUGCCCUUGACUUUGGGAUAACUUCAGGAAACUGGGGCUAAUACCGGAUAGGAGCUCCUGCUGCAUGGUGGGGGUUGGAAAGUUUCGGCGGUUGGGGAUGGACUCGCGGCUUAUCAGCUUGUUGGUGGGGUAGUGGCUUACCAAGGCUUUGACGGGUAGCCGGCCUGAGAGGGUGACCGGCCAGAGUGGGAGAGAGAGACGGCCCAGACGCGGGGACGCGGAGGGAGUGGGAAGUAUCGCACGGGGGGCGGCAGGCGGAUGCAGGAAGGGGGCGGGCGGGAUGCCGGGCUGCGGGUGGGAAGAGGGUUUCGCGUGGGGAGGAGGGGGGGGGAGGGGAAUGAGAAAGGGGGGACCGGCGAACUACGGGGCGGCGGCGUCGGGAAUAAUGGGAGAAGCACCUGACUGAGC